GGUUGAUCCUGCCAGUAGUCAUAUGCUUGUCUCAAAGAUUAAGCCAUGCAUGUCCAAGUAUAAAGAUUUUAUAUCUUGAAACUGCGAACGGCUCAUUAAAUCAGUUAUAAUCUACUUGAUUGUAAAAUCUACAUGGAUAACUGUAGUAAUUCUAGAGCUAAUACAUGCAAAAAAUCCUGACUGUUAUGGAAAGGAUGUAUUUAUUAGGUACAAAAUCAAUGCUGGCACUUGUGUCAGGUUUAUUGAUGAUUCAUAAUAACUAAACGAAGCGCACGACCUUUCGUUGGCGCUG
rnacentral:rRNA from 1 species